UGUUGUCUUAAAGGAAGUAUAGAAACAGUCUACCUACAUUCCAUAGGCCAAGUUAAAAUCUGCCCUCUGGAGCACAGCAAUUUUGCAACUUCCUGAUACCAGCCAGGAUUCAUAUGCUGUAUGUGCAUAAAUUUAAUGUACUAUAGGAUCUCUAUGGAAGAAUUUUUCUGUUCACUAACCAGGAAAUAUUAGGAAUUUGUUACAGAGGAGAAAAUUGUAGUGGUAUGUAACUGCAUGAAAAUAAAAUGUGAUUUAGCAAUUUAUUGGUGGUACUCUGAGUCAUCGACCUAGAAAGCAAUGAAAUGAGAUUUUUAUACACCACAGGUCAGAGCAGAGGAGGUACUUUAGUUCAGUUAGCAAAACAGAAUAAUAACUUGAAAUAUGCUAAAUACUAAAUUUAUAAAAGUAAUACGCAAUUCCUUGC